rnacentral:rRNA from 1 species
UACGAAGGGGGCUAGCGUUGUUCGGAUUUACUGGGCGUAAAGCGCACGUAGGCGGGUCGUUAAGUCAGGGGUGAAAUCCCGGAGCUCAACUCCGGAACUGCCUUUGAUACUGGCGACCUUGAGGCUGGAAGAGGUUAGUGGAAUUCCCAGUGUAGAGGUGAAAUUCGUAGAUAUUGGGAAGAACACCAGUGGCGAAGGCGGCUAACUGGUCCAGAUCUGACGCUGAGGAGCGAAAGCGUGGGGAGCGAACAGG